UAUAUGUUAACAUAUGAAAAGACAUAAGGAAACAGAAAAACGGGAGACGACUAAACCGGAAUAACGUGAGUCACGACGAUCGAGCGGGCGGGAAACGUCGGGCGCGGUGACGUUGAACUUGACUCGGAUCGCGAUAAUGAAAACUUUUGUUCGAGAUGAGAUGUACAAACACAUUGAACGGAACAGACGACCGGUCUCGGGCGAGAAUAUAAUAAAAAAAAAAAAAAAAACGAACAUUUGUCUAACACAUCUAAUGUAUCUGAUGAAUAGCUCGUCGUCCGUCGUUUUGCUCAUUUUGAACCAGUUUUUUUUUUUUUUUACAACAGAGUCGCAUACAUCGCCGCGGUAAAACAAACACAUAUAGGUAUAUUGUGAAUCAUUCGGGUCGGUGUGAGUCAUUUGUAGCCGGACAAAACGAAUUGGCGAUGGACCGUCUCUCUAACGCAAGUAUUACGUUAGCGUCUGUCCGCUAGGAAAUCCGGUCGUCCGGAUGAAAUGCGAACCGCUCGGUUUUUGCCCACCGACUCGUGUACCCGGAGGUCGGGACGCGGUUUUCAUAAUAUUAUGGAAAUAAGAGACUAUACCUACUGCAACAGUCACUCUCGAUGCCGGUUGUAUUACAUAUAUAUGCAUUAUGCUAUUCGAAAAGAAACUGUCUAUUAUUCGCGCAGAUGCAUUCACACAUUUGCAACGCCAAUUAUUAUCAUCUCCGCGUUGUGUAUAUUAUAUUAUUGCAUAAUAUUAUACCUAUAAUCAUCAAUAUACCUAAUGACGGGGUUUUAGACAUUUUCACCGUGGCCGACGGUCGUAUAGGCAUAAACCUUUCCAACGGUAAAUAUAAAAUAAUAUAUAAUUUUAUAUAAAAACAUUUCGAAUACAAGUUCAAAGCUUAAAAAACGUUAGCCUUCUGCAAUAGCAUUAUGGUAACAAUAAAUUUAUUGUCAGUUUUAAUCAAUUUGUUUAAAAAAAACUGUUGGGAAACUGGAAAACGAUUGCAGCUGAAUUUACGCCGGACGAAAAAAUCCUAUUCCAAGGUACCGUGUGAAUAAUUUGGAGCGGUUUUACUAACUGAAAAAAUGCAGUUUCCUUUUUUUCCUGAAAAAAUGCACACAUCUUAGUAAAAAUAUAUAAUGGCUUUUUCUUUACACUCGGAAUCCUAAAACACUAUACGGACAUUAAACGGUAAAACCAAACAUAAAAAACUUAAUCGAAUAUACACGCGACUAACGUUUUUGAACGUAGACCACAUUGUCUCUGUGUUAUUUACGAUUAAUCAUCACCAUGAUAUUCUGAUCUGUGG